rnacentral:rRNA from 1 species
UACAGAGGCCUCGAGCGUUAAUCGGAGUCACUGGGCUUAAAGGGUGCGUAGGCGGCCCCGCAAGUGCUUUGUGAAAUCCCACGGCUCAACCGUGGAAUCGCUUGGCAGACUGCGGGGCUUGAGGUCGGUAGGGGUCGCCGGAACUCUAGGUGGAGCGGUGAAAUGCGUAGAUAUCUAGAGGAACGCCAAAGGUGAAGACAGGCGACUGGGCCGAUUCUGACGCUGAGGCACGAAAGCGUGGGGAGCGAACGGG